UUGUCCCCCCAAAUUCUUAUCUCUAUCACCAAGCUCAUCCAUAUCAUUAUCUAAGUAAAUCAAAGCACUAAAUCGGGAACCUUCAAAAUUUUCUCAUCUGAUUUCCCGUUCCAAUUACCCUAAGCUCCCUCGAUUUACAUCGUGAAUUCUUCUUUACAAGCAUCCAAGGCCUAUAAGAUCCACCUCUCUUUUGCCUUCAUUGGCCAUCAUCGAAUCCACCAGCGUCGAAAUAGACGGUAGAGUCUCCUUUUCAGCAUUAGGGUCAAGUACUUUAUUUGGGAAAGCCUCCUUCAUAUGCCCAUACCUCCCACAUCCAAAACAAAUUGUCGACAAGAACUUGAAUUCGACUUACUAAAGGGUGUUGUUGAUCAAAACUGAAGAGACCAGAAGCUUGUCCAAAUUGACAUACACGACCAUGCGAGCAAAAUGCCCUAUUACCCUACUGUUGGUAUUCAUAUCUAGUUUUGUAACUGUUCCAACCAUUCCUCCAAUUUCCAACUGUAUCUUCCUUUUGUACAUAUAACACGAUAAACUAGGGAGCAUGACCCACUACAUCACCACACUCGAAAAAGGUUGUGCAAGGUUGAAACUCAUCGUCCAAGGCUGCAGCUGUAACAACCCGGUUUGACUCUAAUCGAAAUAGUGGUUUCGGGACCAAAAAUCCGAGUCCUAAAAAUAUUUCAAUAUUAUUUUGUGUGUUUACUUUGUGUGUAUUUGAUUGUGUGAAAUUUUCGUGUUUUAAUUUUGUUGUUUGAGUGUCCGAUUAAAUAAAAGGAUUAAAUCACGAAAAAUAAAAAUUUAGGGGUUAAUUAUAAAAGCACCUAAUUGUUGUUGUCUUUUUAAAUGGAAGGAUUUAUGAUGCAAUAAGACCAUAAAGUAGUGAGUGGGUGAUAAUGGUAAAAAAUGACCUUAUAUUAUAAGGUUUAUAUAUUUUGUAUUAAAGGUUAAUAUAGUAAACUAAUAAUUAAAUAAACAUAUGAUAUAAUAAAUCAAUUGAAGCCAUUAUUUUCAUUCUUCUUUUGCCGAAACUUAGAAAAACAAAUAGGGUUUAAAAGCUUUGAGGUAUUCGGUCAUUAACAAGCUUAAUUCAAGGUAUGUUUUACUUCAGUUUUUGAUAAUUUUUACGUUUUUGAGAUCGUUGCUUCGUGUUCUUCAAAACCCAUAUCUUAAUUUUGUGAAUUGUGGAUGAUUUUGAAAUGUGCCAUUGAUGAAUGCUUGAGUUUUAUGAUGUUAGUAGGUGAAAUAUGAAAUAUAUUUGUUAGAUUAAUAUAUUUUGUAUUGGAAUUUUUAGUGAAAUUGAGUAAAUAGGGCUAAAUUGUGAAAUUAAAUUUUUGGGGGACUAAAGUGUGAAAUAAAUGCAAUGUGUGGACUUGCAUGAGAACCAUGAAUAUUCGGCCCUUGUGUGGUAUGGGCAAAUUUUGUAUAAAUUGUGUUUUAUGCAAUAGGGACUAAAUUGCAAAAAGUGUAAAUAUUAGGGGCAAAAUAGUAAUUUUCCAAAUUAUGUGUUUUUGAAUUAAAUUGAAUGUGUUAAUAAAUAAGUUAUCUUAUUUUGAAUAUAUUUAGAUCGAGAACUAAAGAAAUCGAAGUUAGAUCGGGGAAAAGCCAAAUUAGUCGAAUAAUCGUCCGACUUCGAUUUUCCAUCGUCUGAGGUAAGUCCAUUAGCUAUUUAAUGUUAUUAAAUCCAUAUCUAUAUGUAUGAAUAUCUAUUAUGUUGUUGUUGAGCUAUAAUUAAAAGUAAUUUAAUUGAAUAAAUUCAAAUUAUAAAUGGUAUAAAUAUGUAUAUACAAUGUUCAAAUAUAUAGGUAUAUGCUUAUAUAAAUUUUUGAACUAAGUUAAAGUAUGAAUGGUAUAAAAUUAUAUAUAUAUAAAUUCAAAUAAUUAUAUAUGUAUCUAUAUGUAUACAUAUGCUUGAAUUUGGUUGGUUGUAUGAGAGUUAUAUAUAUGUGCACUUAAGAUUCAAAUAUAUGUAAGUAAAUACAUGUAUAAAUUCUUGCUUAAAUUAAAGAUAUGUAUAAUACAUAUGUAUACAUAAGUUUCGAACAUAUAGAUGUAUGUAAAACCAUUUGGGUUUGAUUAAAAGUAUGUAUGUUGUAAUUGUACAGAUAAUUUCGAAUAAGUAAGUAUAUGGAGUUGGAACAUCUAUAUAUAUAUGAAUAAGUCUUGAUUAUAUUUUAAGGUAUAAAUGUUAAAAACGUACUUGGGAGUUCGAAUAUAUCUAAAUGUAUAUUUGUGUACAGAUUCUUGAAUUGAAUCGAAUGUAUGAUUCGCAAACUCUUUUGUGAUUGAAUAUGGACUACAAUGAAUGUGUGUUUGCUGUUAAUAAGUAUUUGAGGAAAUUAUUCUGUAUAUGGGAAAAUUGAGAUUUUCAAGCAUAGCGCUUAGCAAGCUUAUUGCCGGUGAAACGUUUCAGACUAUAUGUCUAGCAGGCUUAAUGCCGGUGAAAUAUUUCAGACUAUAUGUCUAGCAGGCUAAGUGCCGGUGUACUGAAUCAGGCUUAAAGCCUAGCAGGCUAAAUGCCGGUGAAUCUGUUUUAAGUAUGUGAUUAGGUGUACAAUUAUAUGAUUUUGGAUAUAUUUAAUUGAUAAGUAUAUUUAUAUAUAUACAUUUGGCUAAGUGCGUUUGAUGAUUAUAUAUAUACCCGGCUUAUACAAUUGAGAAAUAUAUAUAUGCUCUGGGAUUAUGCAUUUGAUAAAUAUAUACUUUUAAAUAUUCGGUACACAUAUUUGAUUAGUAACUAUAUAUGCAUUCGAGAUAUAUAUAUAUAUACCUUGGUUUAUAAGUAUUUGAUGAAAAUGAAUGCAUUCGUUCAUAUGUAUUAGAUUUGUAUUGGUUUAAAGUUUAAAAUGAGUAUUCAUACACAUUCGGUUAUGAUAUGUGUAUAAUAUAUAUAUGCUCGGUUGUAUACAUUCGUUGUAAUGUUGUUUGGUAUAAAAAUAUAUAUUCAAUUGAUCGCUUUCGACAGGUAUGCAUAUCUGUCUAUAAAUGAAAUGGUCUGAGUACAAUAAUAUAUAAAUAUUAGUUAUUCGUGUUAAUUGAAAUCUCAGUGAAAUAGAUUAAAAAGUAACUUUAUUUAUAUAUUUAUAUACAUUUAGUUAUGCUGUAGACUUACUAAGCUAUAAAAGCUUACUUUGUUUGUUUUCGUCCAUUUACUUUUAUAGAUUUUGGAGACGCGUUACGAGCUCGGGGAUCAUCAGCAUAGUCCAUCACACUAUCGACUUCUUUUGGUAUUUUGUUAAAUAUUUGAACUCAAUCUUAUGGCAUGUAUAGGUUUGAGUACGAUGUUAAUUACAUUUUGAUUGUAAAUUAUAAUAGCUAUGCGAAAGUAAUUAAAUUUUUACGUUGUGAUCAGUUUGGUUUUAAAAAUGUUGAAUUCGUUCGGUAAUGCCUCGUAACCCUAAUUCGGCGACGGAUACGGGUUAGGGGUGUUACAGCAGCGGUAGAUACUACCCGUAAAUAAUCCAGGGGCCUUUAGAGAGCAC
rnacentral:lncRNA from 1 species